CGUAGGUGAACCUGCGGAAGGAUCAUUAGUGAAUUGAAUAUGUUAGCGGACCUCUUCGGAGUCCCUAGCAUCAAAUCAUAUCCAUAACACCUGUGAACUGUAAGGCUGUCUUGAAAACGAAAGUGAUUAGAGCGCCUGCCCAUUUUAUACAAACAUUAAAGUAACAAACGUAGUCUUAUUAUAAUCUAAUAAAACUUUCAACAACGGAUCUCUUGGCUCCC
rnacentral:misc_RNA from 1 species